rnacentral:tRNA from 1 species
GCGAAGGUGGCGAAAUUGGUAGACGCGCUAGCUUCAGGUGUUAGUGUCUUUCAAGACGUGGGGGUUCAAGUCCCUUCCUUCGCAUCA